UUUUUUUUUUAGUUUUAGAUUGAUUUGCAAUCAAUUAAUAUGUUAUACAUAC
rnacentral:tRNA from 1 species